rnacentral:rRNA from 1 species
AUGGCUCAGGAUGAACGCUAGCUACAGGCUUAACACAUGCAAGUCGAGGGGCAGCAUGACGAUUGCUGCAAUUGUGAUGGCGACCGGCGCACGGGUGAGUAACGCGUAUCCAACCUUCCCUAUAGUAGAGAAUAGCCCGGCGAAAGUCGGAUUAAUGCUCUAUGUUCUUCUUUGAUGGCAUCUGACGAGAAGCAAAGGUUCACCGCUAUAGGAUGGGGAUGCGUCUGAUUAGCUUGUUGGCGGGGUAACGGCCCACCAAGGCUACGAUCAGUAGGGGUUCUGAGAGGAAGGUCCCCCACAUUGGUACUGAGACACGGACCAAACUCCUACGGGAGGCAGCAGUGAGGAAUAUUGGUCAAUGGGCGAGAGCCUGAACCAGCCAAGUAGCCGUGCAGGAAGACUGCCCUAUGGGUUGUAAACUGCUUUUAUAGGGGAAUAAAGUGAGGUACGUGUACCUUUUUGUAUGUACCCUAUGAAUAAGGACCGGCUAAUUCCGUGCCAGCCGCAGC